UACAGGGGGUGCAAACGUUGCUCGGAGUUAUUGGGCGUAAAGCGCGCGUAGGCGGCUACUUAAGUCGGAUGUGAAAGCCCUUGGCUCAACUGAGGAAGUGCACCCGAAACUGAGUGGCUUGAGUACUAAAGAGGGUCGCGGAAUUCCCGGUGCAGAGGUGAAAUUCGUAGAUAUCGGGAGGAACACCGGUGGCGAAGGCGGCGACCUGGGUAGAUACUGACGCUGAGGCGCGAAAGCGUGGGGAGCAAACAGG
rnacentral:rRNA from 1 species